rnacentral:tRNA from 1 species
AGCAGGGUGCCUGACUUAAAAGGGCUAUCUUGAUAGGAUAGAUUAUGAAAUGUUUCUCCUGCUU